rnacentral:lncRNA from 1 species
AAAAGGUUUUAGAACUUGGCAUUCAUGUUGUUGUUUUUUCUUUGUGCAAGAAUUAUUUUAUGGGGUGUCGUCCAAUCUUGACUCUUUUUUACUCGAAUUUUUCUUUAGAGCAUCACAUUAAUGCAUGAGUCUAUUGCCUAGGCAAUUGCUUAUACUUUAUUUCUCUUUUUUUUUCAUUUCUUUUUCUCUUCUUUUUUUCGGUAGAAGC